GAAAAUCUAGUUUAAUUUUAAACAUUAGUUUGUCAAACUAAAGUUACUCAGGAGUUUUAGGGUGAUUUUUA
rnacentral:tRNA from 1 species